rnacentral:lncRNA from 1 species
CUCAGGUCCUCCAGGGGAUCGGGAGAGGCACAGCUCUCCUGGGGAAAUGGAUGAGGCAUCGCUAUGAGACGCCUGGUUAUUUUUGCUUCCUGCCUGGGUGUGGGUGUUUGUGUUGACAGCGGCGGGGGAGGCGCAGUGACGAGCGCUGGAACACUCGGGUGCCCGUGGAGCAGGUGGGAGGUGGCGCCUGUGCCGGGCAGGUGACUUGGCGCUCACGUGGCCCUUGGGACUUUGCAGGACUCUGGGAGAAGUGGAUUUGCUCCUCUGUGCUGGGGGUCCCAUUCUGUCUGCUAUGGCACGUGCAGAGGGGCUGCCUGAUGCCACCCCCAGCGCACCUACGGGGUGCAGUGGUGGCUCCCUAAGUGGGUACUUCUUGCUGUGGUGUCGGCCCAUCUCAGCAGUAGGCUUUAGUGGGGGGUGCUCUCUAUUCCCCGUAAUCACCGUCAAAUAUACUCCUGGUGUAUUCAGACGUAACUCUGGAGGAAAAUCAGCGUGCUUGCUCUGACACUCUUUGGGCUGGGGUCUCACCUCACUGCUGACUCCACUAGAAUGUGUGUGUUCGUUAUGUUGGGCCAGCGUGAAUUAUUAGCAUUUAGCCCAGUUUUCUAAACGUCCUGCAAUGUGUCAUACCCCAAAUGCCAGUAGUGUCCCCAUUGCCCACCUAUAGGGAUAAUCUGGAACUGCCCUGCUGGGUUAGUUGCGGAAGCUCCCCUGGGGGUAUUGAAACCCAGGCACCUACUUAGCCAACAGGUUCAGAAAUUGAGAUUCAGGUCAACAGGCCUGAAUCCUAAGUGGUCAUUUGGUUAGAAAUUUCGAGAUGAAAAUCUAUAGUUCUCUAUUUUUUUCUCUCUCUCCCCUCCCCACCCCAAGAAAAGGUGCACAAGAAUUCCAGCCUGGGCUUUUUCCACAUGCCCCACCCCCCGUAUUAGUUUCCUAGGGCUGCAGUGACAAAGUACCAUAAACUGGGUGAUUUAGAACAACGCAGAUUUAUUCUUCCACAAUUUGGGAGGGUAGAAGUCCAAAAUCAAGAUGUUGGUAGGAUCAUGCUCCCUCUGAAGGCUCCAGGGAAGAAUCCUGUCUUCCUUCUUCCUAGUUUCUGGUGGCUCCCAUAAUUCUUAAGUGUCCUCUGCUUGUUGCUGCACCAGUGCAGUCUCUGCCUCCAUCUUCAUACAUCCUUACCCUGGGUCUGUCUCUGUCUCCAAAUUACUCUCUGAUAAAGACACUGGCCAUUGGAAUAGGGCCCACCCUAAUCCAGUAUGACCUCGUCUUAACUUGAUCAUCUGCAAAGAGCGUAUUUCCCAAUAAGGUCACAUUCACAGGUACCGGGGUUGGGACUUCAGCAUAUCUAGGGGGUGUAUUUGGGGGGCACAAUUGAACCCACAGCACACCUCCACCACUGCCAUUGCAUGGCCGCUCUGAAAUGCCUUCCGGUAAUAUGAUUGAUGUUGGAGGCUGUGCUUCCUGCAUCAAUUUUGUUAUUGCCUGUCUGUUUCUUCCUUUCUUCAUUUGGGCUCAGAGUCAUUCUUUUGAUUAAGUGCCCCCCCCACCACCCGCCCCGUUCCCCACUAAAUCUUUUUAGUCAUUAUUCUCUGCUGUGUCGAGCCUGUGAUGACAAAACUCUUCUGUCUGGACAUUUCUGUUCUGUACCUUUCAAGGGGUGGUGCACAUUCUCCUAAGAUGCUGCGUGGCCCUCACCAUGGAGACAAAAGCAGAUAUUUGCUGGUGAACUGCUUCCUGCCUGUCUGUCCCACUAGACUGUAAACCCCGCCAAGACGGAGGACUGUGACUUUAGCUCAUGAUUCACUGUACCCCUGGCACCUAGCCCAAGGCAUAGCACGUACUGGUGUUUUUAAAUAUUAGUUGGAUAAAAAAGAAAACUUGCUUUUCUAUUAAUUAUAGUUAGGGAGAAUUGUGGUAUAAUUUCAAAAAGAUACAUGUAUCUCCCCCCAAAAAUGAAAAAUAGGGGUCUUGCCUGGUGGCGAAGUGGUUAAGUUUGCAUGCUUCACUUGGGCGGCCUGGGGUUCGUGGGUUCAAAUCCUGGGCGUGGACCUACACACUGCUCAUCAAGCCAUGCUGUGAUGGCGUCCCACGUACAAAAUAGAGAAAGAUUGGCAACAGAUGUUAGCUCAGGGCCAAUUUUCCUCACCAAAGAACAAAAAAAUUAAAAAUGGAGUUACCAUAUGAUCCAGCAAUUCCACUUCUGGGUGUAUAUCCAAAUGUAUUGAAAGCAGAGACUUAAAGAGGUAUAUGUGCGCCCACACUCAUAGCGGCAUCAUUCACAAUAGCCGAAAGGUGGAAGCACCCCAAGUGCCCAUUGACGGAUGAAUGGAUAAACAAAUGUGGUGUGUAUAAAAAGGAAGGACAUCGGACAUGUGGAUGAACCUUGAGGACAGAUGCUAAAUGAAGUAAGUCAACCACAAAAAGAGAAAUACUCUGUGAUCCCCCUUGUGUGAGGCACCUAGAGUAGGCAAAUUCAUAGAGACAGGAAGCAGAAUGGGUGUGGCCAGGGGUUAGGAGAAGUGAGGGAUGGGGAGUUGUUGUUUAAUGGGUACAGAGUUUCAGUUUUGCAAGAUGGAAAGAGUUCUGGAGCUGGAUGGUGGUGGGGAUGGUGGCACAGCAAUGUGAGCAUACUUAAUACCGCUGAACUGUGUGUUUAAAAAUGGUGAAGAUUGUACAUUUUCUGUUCUCUGUGGUUUGCUACAAUUAAGAAAAGAGAUAUGGAAGGAUGCAAAAAAAAAAAAGAUACUGUGUAUGUGUGCACGUGCGUGUGUGUGUGGGAAUGAGAGUGAGUGGGUUUAGAGAGAGUGUGACAGAGGAAAGGAAGGGAGAUAUGAAUGGAGAGGCCACCAAAGGAGUUGACAGUGUCUGCCGGGAAGAGAAGUAGUUAUGCUGGAGGGAAAAGCAUCUGGGUGGUUCCCAGUGCCUGGGGUUGUAAUCAGAGCCCUGUCUCCAGCUAGCUGUGGGAUCUUGAACAAAUCAUUCAUUUCCUGUUGCGGGCAUCAGCUUUUAAAAGGAGCUGGAAUAGACCUCUGAAAAGCUUUCUGGCUCAAAAAACUUCAGAGGUUUUAAGCAUCUAACAAGGUUGAUGGCUCUGUUCGAGGUGUUAAUGUUAUCAGAAGCCUGACCUCCACAUGGUGAGCAGUUUACUCUCUGUCUGCUUUGAAGGACUUGCUAGGCCCAUCAAGGGUCUAUAAAUACAUUUGCUUUUCCAUUUGUUUGUUAUAUACCCCUAAAUCUGUGCCUGUGGCUGCUGAUUUUCACCCCCUCUUCUUUCUGCAACGCCUCAUUCUUAAGUAUGUUUGAAAAGCAGCGACUUCUCUAGGAUCAAAACAACCAAGUCAUUUGCUUGAAGAAGAAUUUUAGGAUGAGGAUUUAAAAAGAAAAUCAAAUUUCUUUUAAAUAUUUCAAUAUGACUCCCUGAAAAGAUAAAAAUUCUUUUUGUAACACAUCAACACCAUACGAUUAUCAUAUGUAAGAAAUGAACAAUAAUUCAUUUCUUAAUAUCACUGAAUAUUCAUGUUCAGAUUUCUUGAUUGUCUUAUAUUUUUUCAUAGUCAGUUAAAAAUACCUCAGGGUAAUCAAAGAAUUUAAACAAGGUCCACACAUUGCAUUUGGUUGAUGUAUCUCUUAAGUCUCUCUCUUUUUUUUUUUUUGAGGAAGAUUAGUGCUAACAUCUGCUGCCAAUCCUCCUCUCUUUUGUUAAGAAAGACUGGCCCUGAGCUAACAUCUAUGCCCAUCUUCCUCUAUUUUAUAUGUGGGAUGCCUGCCACAGCAUGGCUUGUCAAGCAAUGUUAGGUCCUCACCCGGGAUCCAAACCGGCGAACCUCGGGCUGCUGAAGCAGAACGUGCGCACUUAACCCCUGUACCACUGGGCUGGCCCUUCUUAGCUGCCUUUUAAUAUAUGGUUUUCCUGUCCUCCUCUUGUUUCUCUCUUGCAAUAUAUUUGGUCAAGAAGCUGGAAUUUUUGUCCUGGGAGUUCCCUGCGUGUAGAUUUCGCUGCCAACGUCCCUGUGUUAUCAUUGAACAUGUUUCAUUGUCCCCCACAUUUCUUGUAAACUAAAGGCUUCAUAAGAUUUAGGUUCAGAUUUUGGGGCAGGAAUAUCUCAUAGAUGAUGAUGUAACUUUUAUCAGGUGACACAUUCUGUCCUUUUCUGAAACCUUAAUAUUGACGGGUGCUGUUAAUCUGAGCAUCCAUUAUUAGGGAGCCCAUCAGUUUUUUCUGUCCUGGUUUUAGCAGCCGUUGAUGACCCAUAAUGGAUGCCUAGAUCCCUUCUUUAUUUAGGGGGUACAAAAAGGUGAUAUUCUUGUUCUGUUAUUUCUUCUGCAUUUUAUUAGCUGGAAAAUUUCUAUAAAGAAGAACUGUAUUUCAACAUUUUUUUUAUUACCUUGAGGCACAGUUUGUAUAUAGAAGGCAGAAUAAUGGCUUGAUUCUUUCUUUUUAUUUACCAGAAUAAUGAAUUAGUUCCAUAUUAUCCUUCCCAGAGCAUAAGUGAAUUUUUGAAGAAAGACAUUAUUAUGAACUCUUGGAUUCUUAAUAUGUUUGACAUUGGGGUAAGGAUUUGGUAGAAACAGUAAUGAAAAUAGCCUCUUCUUUUAGAUGUCUAAAUUCUAGUUGAUAAAUGCUUCUAGAAAAUAAGAGAAAGGAGGGAAGGGGAGAUGUGGUGUGAGAAAGUAAGAUACUAGAAACCUAUAAGCAUAGUUGAAUGAGGAUGGAAGUAGGGAAAAGAAUAAAGAUGCUAUGGGGCCGGCCCCGUGGCUGAGUGGUUAAGUUCGCGCCCUCUGCUUUGGCGGCCCGGGGUUUCGCCGGUUCAGAUCCUGGGCCCAGACAUGGCACCACUCGUCAGGCCAUGCUGAGGUGGCGUCCCACAUGCCACAACUAGAAGGAUCCACAACUAAAAUAUACAACUAUGUCCAGGGGGAUUUGGGAGAAAAAGCAGAAAAAAAGGAGAUUGGUAAUAGUUGUUAGCUCAGGUACCAAUCUUUAAAAAAACAAAAAGAAUAAAGAUGCUAAAAAUAAGAGAUGAAAAAAUAAUAGGGACCAUUUGAGAAAGAGAGGAGCGAGGGGUGGUGAGGGAGGUGAUGGGCUGUUGAGGAGUGUGUUGGGAUAAGGUUGCAUAGGGCCUUGCAGGCCACUGGAAGUACUUUGGGGCCAUUGCAUGCACAUGAUCAUACUUAUUUUUUUUAACAUGAGAAUAUACUGUUGUGGGGAAGAAUCAAGGGCAGAAUCAGUAAGACCAAGUAGGAGGUCACAGUGACUGGGGUGCUGGGGACAGAGCUGGUGAGCAGCAGCCACAUUCUUGAUACGUUUUGGAGGUAGAACCGAAAGAAUUCGCUGAUGGAUGGGGUGUGAGGUGUGAGAGAGGAGGGGUCCAGGACAGGGACGAGCCACUGUAUUUGGGGGAUGAGAGGUAACGGUGGUGGACCUUGGCUGCUCCAGGCUCCCCGGGCCCCGCCUUGCCCUUCAGCAGGUGGGAGGAGUUCAAGGCUGGGGGUAAGAAGGCUUGUCUACUGAGCUCUUCAUUCUUGAGUGGUCUGUGAGUUGCUGGACGGGUUCAUUCCAUGCAUUCAUUCCCUGGUGGACCAGUCACCUCUUUCAACUCGGUGACCACAGCCUGCACCCCUAGCCCUGCCUAGUACCAGCCACAAAAAUGGCCAGGGUUUGGGGAGGUCACUACUGAAUCUCUAAUGGACACACGACUCAGAAGACAAGCCCUCUGAUGGAGUAGAAGCUGCUUCUGUGAGGGAGAAAUGCUUGUAUCUUGAGAACAAAGGUGGCUGAGAACUCAUUCCUCCCUUGCGUAUCCCUAAUAGAGUUGGUUUUGGUCUUAAAUACUCUUGGGCGUGAUGGGCUAUGCUCCGUGUCUUGGAGGUAGUUUCAGAUCCACCAGAUCUCUUUGCUUAUUCCUGCGGUUUUCUUACAGGAGUGUCUUAAGCGUGCUUUGCUUCUUCACCCCUCCUUCCUUGCACUCCGAGGGAUAGAACAGGGGUAGGCAAAUUACAGCCCACCGGCCUGUUUUUGUAAAUAAAUUUUUAUUGGAACGCAGCCACAUCUAUUUGUGAUUAUUACCUAUGGUUACUUUCGUACUCUGAUGGCAGAGUUGAGUAAUUGCCUGUACAAAGCCUGAAAUAUUGACUCUUUGGCCCUUUACAAAAAGAAAGUUUGCUGAUCUCUGGGUUGGAAGAUAAGCAGAGGAUGAAUAAGGCUCUUAGCACGUGGGUCACACAAAAUAUUUGUGGUUUGUCACUGAAAUGCUGCUCAGCCUUGGUAGAUGUGAGUGUGAAAUUCUGUGGCUCACAAAUUGUGGCUUAAAAUCAUUAAAAUAGUUUUAUUUUUCUUUAUUCAUUCUUCUACACAUUAGAUGACAUUAUCGUUUAUAGUUGGUAGGAGAUAUAAUUCAGCAUGGUUAGGGUCACAUUAAUGAUGGUGUCAUUUUUACUGGGCAGAUGGUUGAAUAUUAAUAACCCUGAAGUUCAGUGUUUAAGUCCCGCUUUGCAUACCGUCUUCCUUGGAGAGUGUAAACCUUUCUCUUCCAUCUGAGUGUACUAGUAUGUCAUUUGUUUUGCCUUUGUGUGAGCAAGAAUUCUCAUUUUUUCAAUGAAUGCCUCAUGCUAAGGAUUUUCAAAAUAAGUACCCUUGCAGUUUUUCCCCCCUAAAUGGAACUCAGUUAGUUUUAUCUAAGCUGUUCCUUUUGUCUUGGGCUAUUAUUGUGUGUUACAUUAUUAUGGCUGUGGAAUUCUUUUUGUAGAAAAAAAAUUGAAAUAGAUUUAAAAUAGGACGGACUUUUCUUUCUUAAUUGCAUCUUAGUGUAAUAAAAUCCAGAGUGCAAUUGUUAAAAAUGGUAGAAGGGAAGAAUUAAAACAAUAAAAUUGCUUGGCAUAGCUCCUGUUUCAUAAUAUUCGGAUAUAAUUGGUAUUAUAAUGUGUAAUUAACAAACUUUCACUAAAGUUGAAGCUUAAGUUUGGGCGGGCAGGGCACCUUUUAGGACACAGUGACGUCUGAAUUAGCUCUUAUGGUAGCAUUUCAGAACCUGUGCACACAUUGUGGCAUCUUCCUACCCGCCUCGUUAGUUGCUUUCUUUUUGAGGAAUGUUAGCUCUGAGCUAACAUCUGCUGCCAAUCCUCCUCUUUUUUGCUGAGGAAGACUGGCCCUGAGCUAACAUCCAUGCCCAUCUUCCUCUACUUUAUAUGUGGGACACCUAUCGCAGCAUGGCUUGCCAAGCGGUGCCAUGUUCUCACCCAGGGUCCGAACCAGUGAACCCCGGGCUGCUAAAGCAGAAUGUGCAAACUUAACCGCUGUGCCACUGGGCCAGCCCCUCGUUAGUUGCUUUUUUGUGGUAGAGACAGACAGUAAACUAAGGGCUUGGGACAGAGAGUCCCAAGUGUUGGGAGCAACACUUGACCAGCCACCCAUGCCUAUCCUGGGUUGGUCAGGGAAGAGAGCAGAAGACAAACUCCCGAAUACAGGCUGUGGCUUUAGCUCAGGCUGCAGGGUCAUCUCCUGGAGUAGAUCACGUGGAGGACCUUUUUUGCCCAGGUGUCCGGUUAGCCUGGGGCUUAUGCUUAAAACAGGCCGAGAAGCCUCCUUCACUCAUUUUCUGGACCCACCCCCGAACCUGGCCCCAUGGAUGUUAUUGCAGCUAUGGCCAGGAAUGAUGGGUCCAAGGAAAAAGAGGGGAAGGGAAUACAUCCCAGGCUCAGGGCUUGAGCCUCAGUUUCCCCAUGGCCCACGUUAGCUCCCUGAGGAUUGGGAGACCAGAACAUGCAAGAAUGCAAAUAAAAGUACUGGCAGAGAACAUUCCAGACAUAUCUGGCUUUUAUUCGCUACUCCUUUGGUUCAAGAGUUCCUUGGCCAUGUCCUGCCAUGUCCAGGCUCUUCUCAGAGACACGGUUAUGGGUGCCAUUCAUCGCCCCCUGGUGGAGGAAGUUACUCUGUGUGACUGUAGAGAGGCUGAUGUCAAAACACCCGCCCCACAGCUUAUCUUUUGAAAGCGUCAUGUGGGGAGGAUGGGGAGGCAACAUUGCCCAGUACACUUAUUUGAAUGAGGCUACUGCUUAAAAAUUUGGAGCCUCUUCUCUGGAAAUAGCUUUUAGAGUCUCUAGCGUAUUCUUUGGAAUAUCUUUAUCAGUUUCUCUUUUUGGGCCGUUUUGAUUUUCGGUAAAAUUCUUAAGGCAGUUGCCUCUCAAUUGGUUUUCUACUUCCAUUCUUGUCUGCAUAAUGUCCAUUCCCCAGAGUGUAGCUAGAGGAUCUGAAUUGCAAUCAAAUCUCUUUACUCCUCUGCUUGGAACUUCCAGUGGCUUCCUAUUCCCAUGGGUGUGAAAACCAGACUUGAAGCCAGACUUCCUGCCUGGCUGCAAGGCCUCAAGUGAUUUGUCGACCCCCCCGCUCCCCCAUUUCCUCUUAACUUCAGGCACUUCCCAUACCUUCUUUCUGGGACUAGAACACAGCGGCCUCAGGCUUCCUCCUGCAUGCCUGGAAUACUCUUCCUCCAGCUCCACCUGGCCAGCUCUUCACUUCCUGCAGGGCUUUGCUCUAACGUCACUUCACCAAACAAGCCCCCUCCACACACACUCUCCCUAGCCCCCUCCUCACCCCCGACUACACUGCUCUAGUCUCGUCAUCAUACUCAGGCCAUCAGAACCCUCUUUCUUAUUCACUGAUAUGUUCCUUUAGAGCAAAGGGUUGCCAAGGUCACCUGUGGCCCGUUGCCUUGAUCAGAGGCUGCCGCCACAGCGUAGCUGCCCUCAUUCAGAUAAGUCUGCUAUGCAGGGUACAUUGCUCGGUUGAAUAGCGUCUUGUAAGUAGUUCCCCAAGAUGACUACACUGAGGGAAGAGUUCAGAUUCGGAAAAAUGUGUUCUGAUCUAUCUUGAUAACCAAACCAAACCAAGACAGUUUCUUUAUCAAAGCUCAUGUGUUGGAUUGGCCCACAGUGCAGAGGCUCAUGAUGUGGGACAUCUACUGUCUCCCCGUAGUGUGAGACCGCAGUGGCCUCUGCGCUGUGGCCCCCAGCACAGUACAGUUUCACUUGAGUAACAAGGAGAUUCGUGUCGAUCAGAGUCUCUCAACCUCACAGCUGCCAACACUUUGGGCUGAAUCAUUCUUUGUGGUACAGGCUGUCCUGAGUGCUGAGGACGUUUAGCAGUGUCCCCGGACUCUGCCCAUUAGAUGCUAGGACACUGCCCCAGUUGCGACAACCGGUGUCUCCAGACACUGCCAAACGUCCCUAGGGAGGGAGGAGUAAAAUCUCCCUUGUUGGGAACCACUGGUCUAGAAACACCUCCUUGCUCCAGAUUCUAGCAUUAACAUUUUAUACCAUCUUUCAUUAUUUAUCCAUCAGUGUGGAUCACAUUUGCAAGGGUAUAAGAAAGCGCUUUGAAACAAUAGCAUGUUACUCAAAUUUGGAUCGUGUUGAAGACUGAAGUUGUGUUUUAUCAUCUCCAUUUGUGGUCUCAGUGUCUUUGUCGUUGACCUGAGUUUUGCCUUCAUCAUUUAGGACCUCUUUCCCCCUCUAACAAAGGAGGCGGCUCUUCUUUGCUAAUGUAUUGUGUUAGGUUGAUGCUUAAAAUCACAGUCUUCGCUGGAAGGAAUCUUGAAGGAUCUUUGAGGAAUAAAUGUCCAAUUAAUGUCAACGUCAUCAUUGUUAUCUUGGUCUUCCCGUUAUGCUAAAGAUGAGGAAACUAAAGCCCAAAGAAGGACGGUGAGUCACCAGAGUUGUGGUUAGUGGUAGAGCCAUGACCUUGUGAGUGUUUCUGGGGAAUUUUCUUGGACUUUGUGUUCUGUGUGUGUUGAUGCUGUGAUGAGCAGAGCUCUCUGGGGCUCUGACCUCACCCGCAAGAGCCCUGCUGGAGCCUGGCCAUGAAGUGCCACUGUCCUAGGCUGGUGAAGGAUUUGCUGACAGAGAGCUUUAAAAAAGAGCAUCAGGGAGGAGAUUAGGGGAGUCAGAGAAAGGGAGGGACGGAAGAGUACCUUAAAGGGCAUAGACAUUUAACUGAAAAGGGACAACUGUGUGCGAAAAACAAUGCAAAGGAAAUAAAAAGAGGAGGGAGGAGGGAAUCCUGGAUAAAGGAACUGAAAAAUCCAGUCAACCAAAUGCCAUGUGUAGAUCUUAGAUCUUGAUUUGAACAGACCAACUUUGUGUGUGUGUGAGUGAGAGAGAGAGAGAGAGAGAGGAGAAAGAGAGAGAGAACAUCAGAGACAUUUAUAAACUAAAUGGAUAAUUGGUAGCAUAGAAGAAUUUUUGGGGGGCUGUAAAAAUACUAUUGUGAUUAUGUUUCAGAAAAAAGUCCUUCUCUUUUAGCAAUUAAAGUAUUAGCAUAUUAAAGUAUUUGUGGAUGGUAUAAUCUGAUGCUUGAGAUUGUCUUCAAAAUAAAUAAUCCUGUAUGGGAGGAUCAUAGUGAAAUAGGAUUGAAUAGUUGAAGCUGGAUUAUAGGUACAUGGAGAUUAUGUAACCGUAAGAAAAAUUUCCAUAAUAAAAAGUUAAAAAAAUUAAAAGCUGACCAACUUUGGUAAAUUUCAAACUUCUUUGAAAUAAGAAUAAAUAAUAAUAAACAGCUUGAGACAUUUGUCAAUUUUUUAAUCUUAUGUUUUUUUUUAAAGAUUGGCACUUGAGCUAACGUCUGUUGCCAAUCUUCUUCUUUUCCUCUUCUUCUUCUUCUCCCCAAGGCCCCCAGUACGUAGUUGUAUAUUCUAGCUGUAGGUCCUUCUAGGUGUGCUGUGUGGGACGCUGCCUCAGCAUGGCUUGAUGAACGUUGCUAGGUCUGCGCCCAGGAUCCAAACCGGGGAAACCCUGGGCUGCCAAAGCAGAGUGCAUGAACUCAACCACUCGGCCACGGGCCGGCCCCUAAUCUUAUUUUAAAGAGACUCUUCCAAGCCCAGCAGAUGCUCCCCAGUUUUCCCGCAAAAGUCCCUUUGCCCUGAGUGAUAGGCAGAUGUGGCAACAGGAGCUGGAGGAAGCUUGCCCUCACCAGGUCAGCAGUGAGGCUGCCCCUCCUCACGCAUUUCGCUGCUGGCUUCCACCAGCUCUCGUCUUCUCUGUGCCAGCAGAGAACCUCUGGUGUCCCCGGAGAGUUGUGGUGCUCCUGGGAAAGACACAUGAGUAUUGACACACUCAUGACAAUCCCUCCGUCCCUUCUGCCCCCUCCGAGAAGUGAUCUGUGGACCAACUUAUUUUUUUUCCACAUUUAUUUUAUUUAAAUAUCGUAUGAGUAAUAUAUGCUUUUUGUAAAAACCAUGCAGAGUAAAAAUGAAAGUUCUCCUUCUUUCUCUCUCCUCCUAUCAAUUUCAUUGACCUUUCCAGAAGUAACCAUUAGUGAUAAAAUGAUGAGUAUCUUUUUACGUCUUUUUUUGUUAUUAGCACCAUGUCAGAGUUUUGUGUUUUUCUAAUCAAAAAAAAAAAAAUUUUUAAGCGAUCACAGGAAUUUGAGAGUAUAGUUCUAGAGAACUUUCUUUUCCCCACCUGCAACUCCUCCCUUCUCCGGAACCACUUGGGAGUAAGUUACCGACGAACCCCAGCACCCUGGAAUUCUUAGGCCUGUUUCCUACCGCCAUGGCAUUCUGUGCACAAUCACAAUAUAGUCACUAGUAUCAGGAAAUUAACAUCAACACGUUGCCAACUUCUAAUCCUCAGGCCCCAGUCACAUUUUGCCUAUUAUUCCCGUAAUGUCUUUUCUACGCAAAAAGAUCUAGCUCUGAAAGAUGUGUUGUAUUUACUUGUCAUGUCUCUGAGCACCUGUUAUGAGCUAUGCCUUGUUCUAAACCCUUGGAAUUUAUCAGCCCAAAAUAUAGACAAAAAUGUGUCUUUGUGGAGCUUGCAUUCUAGCAGGGGAGACAAAAAGCCAAUAAACACAACAAACACUUAAUCUUGUAGGUUGGUAGCAGGAGUGAAAUGCUACAGAUAAAGGAUAGCAGGGUGCAAGGCGAUUGCACUGCAAUUUUAAAUACAUUGGUCAGGACUGGUCUGAUGAGAGGGGGCUUUUGGGCAAACACUGGAAGGAAGUGUGGAUAUUAAGGAAGAACAUUCUGGAAAGAGGUUAUAAGAGCCAGUGCCAAGGCUGUGAGGAGGGGGCAUCCCUCUGUCUGACCAGGGAGCGGGCUAGUAGAGAAGGGCUCAGUGAGGUGAGUGGGCCAGGUCAUUCGAUCUUUGUAGGGCAGUUAAUUUUUUACCCUUUUUUGGCUAUUUCCAUUUUAACCCAUGGACACACCUUCAUUCUAUUACUGCUCUUUCAUCCGAUGACUUUCCCUAGACCCCACCUUUUCCUAAUAUUUCUUGACAUCCCCCCACUGAAGUUCUCUCUGGUCUUGAUGGGUGAGACUUGGGACUCUGGUUUAGUUCAUCCUCCUGGCCACUUUCUAUCUGACUCUUCUUUAACUUUUCCCUGGCCCGUCUUCUUUCCUCCCUUGCUCAUGGCUUUGCCUUUCUUAGCACAUUCUGCCUUUGUGCUUACUCUAGAGCAGGUUUUGUUCGAAGUGCUUAACGGUUACUAACUAAUUUAAUCAUCAGGAGCGAGCUUGGGCAAUGGGCACUAUUGCUUUUUCUGUUUUAUGAGUGAUGACAUUGAGGUACCGAGAGAAUGCGUAACUUGCCGGUGGUCCCACAGCUAGGAAGUGCUGGGGCCCAGUCCCUGGCCAUUUGCUUCCAGCAUGUGGGCUCUUAGCCACUGUGUGAUGGACACGUGUCCGUAGCUGACCUCCCUCCUGAGCUUCAGCCCAAUCACUCCACUUUCUCAGGGAUGCAUAACAAAUAACUACAAAUGCAGGGUCUUAAAACAACACACACACUUAGGAGCUCACGGGUCUGUGAGUCAGGAGUCUGGGCAGUUUCGUGGGUCGUAAGGUUAUAAUUUAGCUGUUGCCCAGGCUGCAUUCUCAUCUGGAUGCUGGUCUGGGGAAGAAGCUGCCUCCAGGCUUGUUGCUGGUAUAGGGAGAGUUCAUUUCCUUGGGGUUAUGGGACUGAGAGCUCUGGAUUCUUCCUGGCUGUCAGCUGGACGCUGUUCUUACCUCGUAGCGGCUGACCACAUGUCCUGAGACAGGGGCCCCUCCAUAGGCAGUUCACAACCUGGAAGUUUGUCUGCUAAGAUGGAGUCUUAUAGAAUGAAAUGUAGCCAGUGGAGUGACAUCCCAUCAGCUUUGCCAUAUUCUCUUGGUUAGAGUCAAAUCACAGGUCCUGCCCACAUUUGAUGGGAGGGGCUGGGGUCCCCUUAGGAUGUGCCCUCCAUAGGAUGCCUCACUGAUUUGGAAAAUUCACCCUGAAACCAGAACUCACCAUUUUCCCUCUUCCCAAUUCCUGAUGUCUGUUAGCAUUACGUCUGGUCUUCCAGCCACCAGAUUUUUAGCCUGGCCAUUAACAAUUGAUAUCUCUCUUUCUUUGUCAUUUCCAUCAUUCUUUCACUUAUUAAGUCCUCUCAAAUUUUCCUGGAAGUGUCCUUUGAAAUCUAUCUUCCUAAUCACUGACUUUUGUACCUCUCUCUCUCUCUCUGUUUUUGUCUUUCUCUGACACACACUCACAUACACCCAGCCACCCACCCACCCACACACACAGGUAUUGGGUUUCCCCUAGAGUCUAAUGUUAACCUAAUUUUCCAGCCUUUUCCUGAUGUUGUCUCCUGUUUCCUGGGUUGUCUCCCUUCUGCAUUUCUGCCCUGUUGGUUCAGAGCUCUUGUCCCCCAGGGAUGUCUUCAGUGCCCCCUCCAGCUGUUGCCAGCAGUGUUCUUCCCACCUCGCUCAAGCAUCCUGGAUUGCCCCUCUCUCUGAGCUCCACUUAUCCCUGUGCUCUUCACCUGGCUUCAUGCUGGAACCAUCAAGGUCACUUGAAUUGGAUUACUCAACCGUGUCUAGACUUGGCUAACUUCCCUGUACACAGAAUUUUUUUUUUUUAUUAAAGUAAUGUUGGGUGAAUUAUCUGAAUUAAAAUGCUCAUGAGAAAAAUAUGAUAUAGUAAAUCAAGUAUGCUCUUUGGCUGUCUGAGUCCCCCUGGAUGCCUGUCCCUUUGGCUGGCUCUGCCUCAGGUUGGGCACCCCAGACAUCCGCAGGCGUGGUUGAUGGCCAGCACCAGAAUGCCUGUGGCCCAGUUGACUGGCCGCACCUUCUGCUCGAGGCCUGAUUUAUGCACAGCUCAGAGCUACAAACCUCUCUGCGCUGUCAUACAGGUGACAAGGCCUCUCCUUGCAUG